UCUUGUCUAAGGUGUCUUGGCUAAGGUGUCUUGGCUAAUGUGUCUUGGCUAAUGUGUCUCGGCUAAUGUGUCUUGGCUAAGGUGUCUUGGCUAAUGUGUCUUGGCUAAUGUGUCUUGGCUAAUGUGUCUCGGCUAAGGUGUCUUGGCUAAUGUGUCUUGGCUAAGGUGUCUUGGCUAAGGUGUCUUGGCUAAGGUGUCUUGGCUAAUGUGUCUUGGCUAAAGUGUCUUGGCUAAUGUGUCUUGGCUAAGGUGUCUUGGCUAAUGUGUCUUGGCUAAUGUGUCUCGGCUAAGGUGUCUCGGCUAAUGUGUCUUGGCUAAUGUGUCUUGGCUAAUGUGUCUUGGCUAAUGUGUCUUGGCUAAGGUGUCUUGUCUAAGGUGUCUUGGCUAAGGUGUCUUGGCUAAUGUGUCUUGGCUAAUGUGUCUUGGCUAAUGUGUCUUGGCUAAGGUGUCUCGGCUAAGGUGUCUUGGCUAAUGUGUCUUGGCUAAUGUGUCUUGGCUAAGGUGUCUCGGCUAAUGUGUCUUGGCUAAGGUGUCUUGGCUAAUGUGUCUUGGCUAAGGUGUCUCGGCUAAUGUGUCUUGGCUAAUGUGUCUUGGCUAAUGUGUCUCGGCUAAGGUGUCUUGGCUAAUGUGUCUUGGCUAAGGUGUCUUGGCUAAGGUGUCUUGGCUAAGGUGUCUUGGCUAAUGUGUCUCGGCUAAGGUGUCUUGGCUAAUGUGUCUUGGCUAAUGUGUCUUGGCUAAGGUGUCUUGGCUAAGGUGUCUUGGCUAAUGUGUCUUGGCUAAUGUGUCUUGGCUAAGGUGUCUUGGCUAAUGUGUCUUGGCUAAGGUGUCUCGGCUAAUGUGUCUUGGCUAAUGUGUCUUGGCUAAUGUGUCUCGGCUAAGGUGUCUUGGCUAAUGUGUCUUGGCUAAGGUGUCUUGGCUAAGGUGUCUUGGCUAAGGUGUCUUGGCUAAUGUGUCUUGGCUAAAGUGUCUUGGCUAAUGUGUCUUGGCUAAGGUGUCUUGGCUAAUGUGUCUUGGCUAAUGUGUCUCGGCUAAGGUGUCUCGGCUAAUGUGUCUUGGCUAAAGUGUCUUGGCUAAUGUGUCUUGGCUAAUGUGUCUUGGCUAAUGUGUCUCGGCUAAGGUGUCUUGGCUAAUGUGUCUUGGCUAAGGUGUCUUGGCUAAGGUGUCUUGGCUAAGGUGUCUUGGCUAAUGUGUCUUGGCUAAGGUGUCUUGGCUAAUGUGUCUUGGCUAAGGUGUCUUGGCUAAUGUGUCUCGGCUAAGGUGUCUUGGCUAAUGUGUCUCGGCUAAGGUGUCUUGGCUAAUGUGUCUUGGCUAAUGUGUCUUGGCUAAGGUGUCUUGGCUAAUGUGUCUCGGCUAAUGUGUCUUGGCUAAUGUGUCUUGGCUAAGGUGUCUUGGCUAAAGUGUCUUGGCUAAGGUGUCUCGGCUAAUGUGUCUUGGCUAAGGUGUCUUGGCUAAGGUGUCUUGGCUAAUGUGUCUUGGCUAAGGUGUCUUGGCUAAGGUGUCUUGGCUAAGGUGUCUUGGCUAAUGUGUCUCGGCUUAGGUGUCUUGGCUAAUGUGUCUCGGCUAAGGUGUCUUGGCUAAUGUGUCUCGGCUAAUGUGUCUUGGCUAAGGUGUCUUGGCCAAGGUGUCUUGGCUAAGGUGUCUUGGCUAAUGUGUCUUGGCUAAGGUGUCUUGGCUAAGGUGUCUUGUCUAAGGUGUCUUGGCUAAUGUGUCUUGACUAAUGUGUCUUGGCUAAUGUGUCUUGGCUUAGGUGUCUUGGCUAAUGUGUCUUGGCUAAGGUGUCUUGGCUAAUGUGUCUUGGCUAAGGUGUCUUGGCUAAGGUGUCUUGGCUAAUGUGUCUCGGCUAAGGUGUCUUGGCUAAUGUGUCUUGGCUAAGGUGUCUUGGCUAAGGUGUCUUGGCUAAUGUGUCUUGGCUAAGGUGUCUCGGCUAAGGUGUCUUGGCUAAUGUGUCUUGGCUAAGGUGUCUCGGCUAAGGUGUCUUGGCUAAUGUGUCUUGGCUAAGGUGUCUUGGCUAAUGUGUCUUGGCUAAUGUGUCUCGGCUAAGGUGUCUUGGCUAAUGUGUCUUGGCUAAGGUGUCUUGGCUAAUGUGUCUUGGCUAAUGUGUCUUGGCUAAGGUGUCUUGGCUAAUGUGUCUUGGCUAAGGUGUCUCGGCUUAGGUGUCUUGGCUAAUGUGUCUUGGCUAAGGUGUCUUGGCUAAGGUGUCUUGGCUAAUGUGUCUUGGCUAAUGUGUCUUGGCUAAUGUGUCUUGGCUAAUGUGUCUUGGCUAAGGUGUCUUGUCUAAGGUGUCUUGGCUAAUGUGUCUUGGCUAAUGUGUCUUGGCUAAGGUGUCUUGGCUAAGGUGUCUUGGCUAAUGUGUCUUGGCUAAGGUGUCUUGGCUAAUGUGUCUUGGCUAAGGUGUCUUGGCUAAGGUGUCUUGGAUAAUGUGUCUCGGCUAAGGUGUCUUGGCUAAUGUGUCUUGGCUAAUGUGUCUUGACUAAUGUGUCUUGGCUAAGGUGUCUUGGCUAAUGUGUCUUGGCUAAGGUGUCUUGGCUAAGGUGUCUUGGCUAAUGUGUCUUGGCUAAUGUGUCUUGGCUAAGGUGUCUUGGCUAAGGUGUCUUGGCUAAGGUGUCUUGGCUAAGGUGUCUUGGCUAAGGUGUCUUGGCUAAGGUGUCUUGGCUAAUGUGUCUUGGUUAAUGUGUCUUGGCUAAUGUGUCUUGGCUAAGGUGUCUUGGCAAAGGCGUCUUGGCUAAUGUGUCUAUUCUAAGGUGUCUUGGCUAAUGUGUCUUGGCUAAUGUGUCUUGGCUAAUGUGUCUUUUCUAAGGUGCCUUGGCUAAUGUGUCUUGGCUAAGGUGUCUUGGCUAAUGUGUCUUUUCUAAGGUGUCUUGGCUAAUGUGUCUUGGCUAAGGUGUCUUGGCUAAUGUGUCUUGGCUAAUGUGUCUUGGCUAAUGUGUCUUGGCUAAUGUGUCUUGGCUAAGGUGUCUUGGCUAAUGUGUCUUGGCUAAUGUGUCUCGGCUAAUGUGUCUUGGCUAAUGUGUCUUGGCUAAGGUGUCUUGGCUAAGGUGUCUUGGCUAAGGUGUCUUGGCUAAUGUGUCUUGGCUAAUGUGUCUUGGCUAAUGUGUCUUGGCUAAGGUGUCUUGGCUAAGGUGUCUUGGCUAAGGUGUCUUGGCUAAUGUGUCUUGGCUAAUGUGUCUUGGCUAAGGUGUCUUGGCUAAGGUGUCUUGGCUAAUGUGUCUUGGCUAAGGUGUCUUGGCUAAUGUGUCUCGGCUUAUGUGUCUCGGCUAAUGUGUCUUGGCUAAGGUGUCUUGGCUAAUGUGUCUUGGCUAAUGUGUCUCGGCUAAUGUGUCUUGGCUAAUGUGUCUUGGCUAAGGUGUCUUGGCUAAGGUGUCUUGGCUAAGGUGUCUUGGCUAAUGUGUCUUGGCUAAUGUGUCUUGGCUAAGGUGUCUUGGCUAAUGUGUCUCGGCUAAGGUGUCUUGGCUAAGGUGUCUUGGCUAAGGUGUCUUGGCUAAGGUGUCUUGGCUAAUGUGUCUUGGCUAAGGUGUCUUGGCUAAGGUGUCUUGGCUAAGGUGUCUUGGCUAAUGUGUCUUGGCUAAGGUGUCUUGGCUAAGGUGUCUUGGCUAAGGUGUCUUGGCUAAGGUGUCUUGGCUAAUGUGUCUCGGCUAAUGUGUCUUGGCUAAUGUGUCUUGGCUAAGGUGUCUUGGCUAAGGUGUCUUGGCUAAGGUGUCUUGGCUAAGGUGUCUUGGCUAAGGUGUCUUGGCUAAUGUGUCUUGGCUAAGGUGUCUUGGCUAAGGUGUCUUGGCUAAGGUGUCUUGGCUAAGGUGUCUUGGCUAAUGUGUCUUGGCUAAGGUGUCUUGGCUAAGGUGUCUUGGCUAAGGUGUCUUGGCUAAUGUGUCUCGGCUAAGGUGUCUUGGUUAAGGUGUCUUGGCUAAGGUGUCUUGGCUAAGGUGUCUUGGCUAAGGUGUCUUGGCUAAUGUGUCUUGGCUAAGGUGUCUUGGCUAAGGUGUCUUGGCUAAGGUGUCUUGGCUAAGGUGUCUUGGCUAAGGUGUCUUGGCUAAUGUGUCUCGGCUAAUGUGUCUCGGCUAAGGUGUCUUGGCUAAGGUGUCUUGGCUAAGUUGUCUUGGCUAAGGUGUCUUGGCUAAGGUGUCUCGGCUAAGGUGUCUUGGCUAAGGUGUCUUGGCUAAGGUGUCUUGGCUAAGGUGUCUUGGCUAAGGUGUCUUGGCUAAGGUGUCUUGGCUAAUGUGUCUCGGCUAAUGUGUCUUGGCUAAUGUGUCUUGGCUAAGGUGUCUUGGCUAAGGUGUCUUGGCUAAGGUGUCUUGGCUAAGGUGUCUUGGCUAAUGUGUCUUGGCUAAGGUGUCUUGGCUAAGGUGUCUUGGCUAAGGUGUCUUGGCUAAGGUGUCUUGGCUAAGGUGUCUUGGCUAAGGUGUCUUGGCUAAGGUGUCUUGGCUAAGGUGUCUUGGCUAAGGUGUCUUGGCUAAGGUGUCUUGGCUAAGGUGUCUUGGCUAAGGUGUCUUGGCUAAGGUGUCUUGGCUAAGGUGUCUUGGCUAAGGUGUCUUGGCUAAUGUGUCUCGGCUAAUGUGUCUUGGCUAAGGUGUCUUGGCUAAGGUGUCUUGGCUUAUGUGUCUCGGCUAAGGUGUCU